rnacentral:tRNA from 2 species
GCUCCCGUAGCUCAGUUGGAUAGAGCAACGGAUUUCUAAUCCGUAGGUCGCAGGUUCGAAUCCUGCCGGGAGUG